rnacentral:lncRNA from 1 species
ACUAAAGAUCUGUAUUUUUGGCGAUUCCUAUGUAUUUCUGGGUGUGCAUCAUUACAAGGAAGACAAGCUUUCAGUGUCUAUCUGUAUGUGUCAGGAAAGGUGAAUCUUAGAGAUUUAUGUUGUAGACUGGUGGCAUGGUGCUUCAACCAGAGUUCAAGGGUAAAACACAUGCAACUCCCCUGCAUGAUUCGAUUUCUUUUUCUAUUGUUAGAGUAUUGCUACAUGUUUAGUAUUCAGCUAAAAGUUUUGUUUUGGAGCUUGGAUUCAAUGCCUCAAACUAUUUCCAAGAUAAGGAUUUGACACAGUUUUACAUGUAGACACAAAGUUAAUGUUUAACUGAAAGUGUCUUUAUUUUUUAAAGGGUUCAAAGUAUUGUUCAGACUACUAAGCCUUCACAUUUUACUGAUCUUUACACUGAAAAGUUGAGUGUUUGAUUUCUGUAUAUUAUAUGCUGUGCAUUUUUUGUAACUUGUAUACUCUGUUCCAGCAACUCAUCAGUGUCAUUCUAAAAGAUGGUACAUGGAUCCUAGACUUCGGUUGUUAGUGAGUUCUAACAUUUCUAUAAGAAUCCAUUUUUGUGAUAUGAUAGGUGUUGUCCUGACUUUGGUUUAGAUUCCAAUAAGGUUAUCUUCUUAACAAAACUGUUGCAUAAUAACUCCAUGUGUAAAGAAAUAUAAGAUCUUUUAGAUCACUACUUUAGUAAUCUAAAAGAUAUUAUGUUUCUUUACAGAGGGAGUACAAUCUUUUGUGAGAUUAUUGGCUUUAUUUUUUAGAUCUCUUAGUAGAGAAGAAAUGCCUCCUUAUAUGCUUUAUAUUUCAGUUCUUAUAGUGCAGAAAAAAGAUCUGCAUAGUUUUAACUGGAGAGGCCGUGCAAUCAAGUAUUUGUUUACUUUCCUUUUAACCAAGCCAAUAUGUGUACAUCUACUGUUUCUUAGACCUUUGGACUCAAAGACAACUCACAAAUUUGAAAAAUUCUACUAUUUCUAAGAUGGCUGAAACAUAUUAUUAGUUCUUUUGCAGGGACAUGGUAGAAAGUAGAAAAUCCACAAGUUGAUGGAAGAUGUUCUCGCGAUCGCUUUUGUUCAGAACAUGGUUGACACAUUUUGUCAUAUGGAAGUUGGUGUUGGCUUGGCUGCUUUGUACCUAGGAUAUUAGCAAAAAGAAGGGCACAAACGUAUAUAUGGUAUGCGAGUGGGAAUUUCUCCUCUAAUUUUCUAUUGAGGCCAACCACCUACACUUGUUUAAUUUACCUAGCUGCCACUAGGGGACUAUUUUUGCUCUUGUUUACACUUGUUUAAUUUACCUAGCUGCCACUAGGGGACUAUUUUUGCUUUUGUUAGGCAAUAUUCACACAUCCAGAAUUUAUUAACAUGAAUUUUGAAGUUACAUGUUGUUAUGAUAGCCACAUAGUUGUACUAGAGAAGGAAAAAAAUCAAAUGAUAUUUCCUUGGAAAAACGAAUAAUGAGGCAAAAUGGCAUGCUAUACUCUUAGUCUGUUGGCGACCACAAUCACUGAUAAUCUUUUGUUCUUGCCUAUACUAAUGGAUGUGAAUAUUUAUACUAGGUCAGUGAAUAUUUAUGCUAGGUCUGUGAAUAGUUUAGUGGUCUGUAGAUAGAUGAACUGAGAACAGUUAGUACUUAAAUGGACUAUAGAUGAAUCGAGAGCAGAUAGUAAAUGUAGGCAUGGCUUUUUUCUAGAGUUACGUGCAGGUAAUCCUAGCAACUACUCAUUGUAGACAACUCACAAAUUUGAACAAAUUCUCAUUUCUAUGAUUCUCAAACAUAUGAGUUCUUUUUCAGGGACAAAUGGCAGAAAGUAAGCCCACAAGAUGAUUUAUGAUGGUCUGGUGAUCACUUUUGUUCAUAACAAGGUCAACACAUUUUGGUCAUAUGGAAGUUGAUGUUGACUUGGUGAUCAAAGACUUGGCCCCUUCCAUAAUUUUUUGUAUUAGUCAAGUGAAUGAACAAUUGGUUCCUUAGGAUAUUGGCCAUCAUAUUUUGUAAGAGGCCACAUCCUAUAUGUCACACUUGUGUAUUUCCUAAAUGGUUGUAGAUAAAUUGAGUGAAGAAAAUUAAUUGAUCUUCUAUAUAUGUUGAAUGAAAGCAUUGACCAAUGGUAUCUUGUGAUGAGUUGAAUAUUAUGUAUUGUGUACUUGACAAGAAUUGAAUAUUAUGAAGUUAAUUUUGUAUUAAUACAUCGUGCAUUUGCAUGUUUGCU